GCCUUCGUGGUGUAGUGGUCUGCACGCUGGGCUCAUAUUUCAGAGGUCCGUGGUUCGAUUCCCGGCGAAGGCG
rnacentral:tRNA from 1 species